AUUGAACGCUGGCGGCAUGCUUUACACAUGCAAGUCGAACGGCAGCGCGGGCUUCGUCCUGGCGGCGAGUGGCGAACGGGUGAGUAAUGCAUCGGAACGUGCCCAGCAGUGGGGGAUAGCCCGGCGAAAGCCGGAUUAAUACCGCAUACGACCUGAGGGUGAAAGCGGGGGACCGAAAGGCCUCGCGCUAUUGGAGCGGCCGAUGUCGGAUUAGCUAGUUGGUGGGGUAAAGGCUUACCAAGGCGACGAUCCGUAGCUGGUCUGAGAGGACGACCAGCCACACUGGGACUGAGACACGGCCCAGACUCCUACGGGAGGCAGCAGUGGGGAAUUUUGGACAAUGGGGGCAACCCUGAUCCAGCCAUGCCGCGUGCGGGAAGAAGGCCUUCGGGUUGUAAACCGCUUUUGUUCGGGAAGAAAUCCUCUGGGCUAAUACCCCGGGGGGAUGACGGUACCGGAAGAAUAAGCACCGGCUAACUACGUG
rnacentral:rRNA from 1 species